ACUGACUGGCUACAAGUGCUGCUGAGCCCAGGAAGACACUUUGCAUAGAAGAGACACUUUGCAUUGGCAGCACAUGCUUCAGUGCUCUGGGAGUGUUUAUAGCCCUGUGAGUUGAACAUUUCAUGACUGAGAGCUGUCGUUCAUGGUAACAGAACCCACAGCAAGAAUGACUUUCAUCACCAUCUUCCUCUGGACACUCUUCAUCUCUGCUCAGGAAUCCAGUGGACAGGUUACAGUGACUCAGACUCCAGCAGUGAAAUCUGUUCUCUCUGGACAGACAGUAACUGUGAGCUGUAAGUCCAGUCCUGCAGUGCAUGGUAAUGUAUACCUAGC